UGUUUAAGGAUUACAGCCAAUUACUUUUGGCGAUAUAUGCUAUUCUGAGAAAGUUAAAGAGCCGACAUUGGAAUAUAUGAGAGUU